AUUGAACGCUGGCGGCAGGCCUAACACAUGCAAGUCGAGCGAGCGGCGGACGGGUGAGUAAUGUCUGGGAAACUGCCUGAUGGAGGGGGAUAACUACUGGAAACGGUAGCUAAUACCGCAUACCAUCAGAUGUGCCCAGAUGGGAUUAGCUGGUAGGUGGGGUAACGGCUCACCUAGGCGACGCUCCCUAGCUGGUCUGAGAGGAUGACCAGCAACACUGGAACUGAGACACGGUGCAGACUCCGACGGGAGGCAGCAGUGGGGAAUAUUGCACAAGGGGCGCAAGCCUGAUGCAGCCAUGCCGCGUGUGUGAAGAAGGCAUUCGGGUUGUAAAGAACUUUCAGCGGGGAGGCGUUACCCGCAGAAGAAGCACCGGCUAACUCCGUGCCAGCAGCCGCGGUAAUUC
rnacentral:rRNA from 1 species